rnacentral:rRNA from 1 species
AUUCCGAUUGAUGAGAGCAAGGCACUGGAUUUCCGCCGAAGCCGUAUCCGGGCAAAGCUCCGGGGAAACGGCGUUACCACAGUAGCCAUGAUACAAAGUGUAGCAGAGAGCUAUUCCAACGGUUCUGUCUUCGUAACGGAGUAUCCAGAACAGUAUAAGCUGGAGAUCAAGUUUGUUGGAACACUGGGUAUUCCGCCCAAUAUGGACGAUCUGACGCAGACGCUACGAGAUAUUCUUCCCGCCCAUUUGGAGUGGGCUUAUGUGUUCGUUUUUAACACAUGGGCGGCCGCCGGUGCACUGACAUGGGGUCAGGCGAAGGCCUUUACUUGGAAACAACUGAGGGAGAGUGAUUUGAAUGGCUGAGACCAAUAAUUUGAAGCUGGCCUUGCCCACCAGUUGCUUUUGAAACUGACAUUCUUGAGUGAAGUAGAGGCAAGCGGAAUUCCUAGUGUAGCGGUGAAAUGCGUAGAUAUUAGGAGGAACACCAGUGGCGAAGGCGGCUUGCUGGGCUUUUACUGACGCUGAGGCUCGAAAGCGUGGGGAGCAAACAGGAUUAGAUACCCUGGUAGUCCACGCCGUAAACGAUGAUUACUAGGUGUGGGGGGAUUGACCCCUUCCGUGCCGGAGUAAACACAAUAAGUAAUCCACCUGGGGAGUACGACCGCAAGGUUGAAACUCAAAGGAAUUGACGGGGGCCCGCACAAGCAGUGGAGUAUGUGGUUUAAUUCGACGCAACGCGAAGAACCUUACCAAGUCUUGACAUCCUGCGACGGUGCUGGAAACAGUACUUUCCUUCGGGACGCAGAGACAGGUGGUGCAUGGUUGUCGUCAGCUCGUGUCGUGAGAUGUUGGGUUAAGUCCCGCAACGAGCGCAACCCUUAUCAUUAGUUGCUACGCAAGAGCACUCUAAUGAGACUGCCGUUGACAAAACGGAGGAAGGUGGGGAUGACGUCAAAUCAUCAUGCCCUUUAUGACCUGGGCUACACACGUACUACAAUGGCGUUUAACAAAGAGAAGCAAAGCCGCGAGGCAGAGCAAAUCUCCAAAAAACGUCUCAGUUCGGAUUGUAGGCUGCAACUCGCCUACAUGAAGUCGGAAUUGCUAGUAAUCGUAGGUCAGCAUACUACGGUGAAUACGUUCCCGGGCCUUGUACACACCGCCCGUCAAACCAUGAGAGUUGGCAACACCCGAAGUCGGUAGUCUAACCGCAAGGAGGACGCCGCCGAAGGUGGGGUUGAUGAUUAGGGUUAAGUCGUAACAAGGUAGCCGUAUCGGAAGGUGCGGCUG